UUUGACGAGCAGCGAAAAGAGCCUAUCAGAGCCCGGCCCAUCAUGGCGGCGCCCAGCGAGUAGGGACCCGGCGAUGUCAGGCCAGGGGGUCUGGCUGCGAGCCCGGGAGCGGCUGCGGCGCUUCCCCGAGCUGCUGGCGGGAUGUCGGGACCAGGCAAAGACGACAAUGAAGUGACGGCAUUGGUAACAAUGCAGGGGACUGGAAUCUAGAUUUACAGUCCUGACUGGUGUCUGUCCAGCUGUAAUCAGAUAGUUCCAGGACAGAAGAAUUUGCAUAAUCUAUAAUUAAAUCAGAAGGAAAUGGGAGCCUAAUAAUGGAACACUCAGUUCUAUUUCAUGCAACCUCCUCCCCCAGCUGUUUCAAACAAUGUCUGGUAAUAAAUGUUUGGAAACUGUUUUUAAAUAAAACUCCAAAAUCCGG